rnacentral:tRNA from 1 species
CCUGGUAGCUCAGAUGGUAAAGCAUCUGCCUACAAUGUAGGAGACCCAGGUUCAAUCCCUGGGUCAGGA